AUUGAACGCUGGCGGCAGGCCUAACACAUGCAAGUCGAGCGAGAGGCGCAGGGGUGUGUAACGUUUGGGGGUCUCCCCGUGAUAGGGGGAUAACUCUUGGAAACGGUAGCUAAUAUCGCGUACUCCCGGAGGUACCCCUAUGGGAUUAGCUAGUAGGUGUGGUAUAGGCUCACCAAGGCGCCGAUCCCUAGCUGGUCUGAGAGGAUGAACAGCCACACUGGAACUGAGACACGGCCCAGACUCCUACGGGGGGCAGCAGUGGGGAAUAUUGCACAAUGGGCGCAAGCCUGAUGCAGCCAUGCCGCGUGUAUGAAGAAGGCCCUAGGGUUGUAAAGUACUUUCAGCCGGGAGGCGUUACCGGCAGAAGAAGCACCGGCUAACUCCGUGCCAGCAGCCGCGGUAAUUC
rnacentral:rRNA from 1 species